ACGAACGCUGGCGGCGUGCUUCACACCUGCAAGUCGCACGGAAAGGCCCUGCUUUUGUGGGGUGCUCGAGUGGCGAACGGGUGAGUAACACGUGAGUAACCUGCCCUUGACUUUGGGAUAACUUCAGGAAACUGGGGCUAAUACCGGAUAGGAGCUCCUGCUGCAUGGUGGGGGUUGGAAAGUUUCGGCGGUUGGGGAUGGACUCGCGGCUUAUCAGCUUGUUGGUGGGGUAGUGGCUUACCAAGGCUUUGACGGGUAGCCGGCCUGAGAGGGUGACCGGCCACAUUGGUACUGAGAUACGGCCCAGACUCCUACGGGAGGCAGCAGUGGGGAAUAUUGCACAAUGGGCGGAAGCCUGAUGCAGCAACGCCGCGUGCGGGAUGACGGCCUUCGGGUUGUAAACCGCUUUCGCCUGUGACGAAGCGUGAGUGACGGUAAUGGGUAAAGAAGCACCGGCUAACUACGUG
rnacentral:rRNA from 1 species